rnacentral:rRNA from 1 species
GACGAACGCUGGCGGCGUGCUUAACACAUGCAAGUCGAACGGAAAGGCCCUGCUUGCAGGGUCCUCGAGUGGCGAACGGGUGAGUAACACGUGGGUGAUCUGCCCUGCACUUCGGGAUAAGCCUGGGAAACUGGGUCUAAUACCGGAUAGGAGCCAUUUUUAGUGUGAUGGUUGGAAAGUUUUUUCGGUGUAGGAUGAGCUCGCGGCCUAUCAGCUUGUUGGUGGGGUAAUGGCCUACCAAGGCGGCGACGGGUAGCCGGCCUGAGAGGGUGGACGGCCACAUUGGGACUGAGAUACGGCCCAGACGCCUACGGGAGGCAGCAGUGGGGAAGAUUGCACAAUGGGCGCAAGCCUGAUGCAGCGACGCCGCGUGGGGGAUGACGGCCUUCGGGUUGUAAACUCCUUUCGCUAGGGACGAAGCGUUUUGUGACGGUACCUAGAGAAGAAGCACCGGCUAACUACGUG